CACGUAGGGUGCGAGCGUUGUCCGGAAUUAUUGGGCGUAAAGAGCUCGUAGGCGGUGUGUCACGUCGGCCGUGAAAACCUACAGCUUAACUGUGGGCGUGCGGUCGAUACGGGCAUCACUGGAGUUCGGCAGGGGAGACUGGAAUUCCUGGUGUAGCGGUGAAAUGCGCAGAUAUCAGGAGGAACACCGGUGGCGAAGGCGGGUCUCUGGGCCGUAACUGACGCUGGAGGAGCGAAAGCAUGGGGAGCGAACAGG
rnacentral:rRNA from 1 species